CAGAUCUCAGAGAACUCACUGAAUGCUCAUUUGAAUUCCACACACUAACAUCUCCUCUAAUCUUUCCACCCCCAGGAGUUCCAUGAGCUUCCCUUCCUCAAGAAGUUUAAGUUCAAGAGACAGGACCGGGUGUUCCCCAAGGUGGCACCUGCCCCUCCCCCUUCCUCCUCUGCAGCCGCCCCCAUUCCCACUGCUCUCAGUAACCCCCUCUGAGGGAGUCUCUGCAGACACACCUCUGACAGGGAUGAAGCUGCUGACCAUUGGCAAGCUGAGACAGAACAAGGAUGAGCUGAAGGCUGCUGUGGAGGAGCUGCUCUUUGCCUCAGCACCAAGAGUGAGUAGCCAAUCAACCAG
rnacentral:lncRNA from 1 species